CUUGCAUUCUUUGAACAUACAAGGACUACUGAAAAAUACAGGCAGUUCGGAACUUGAGUGGGUAUGGGGGGAGUGACAGCAAAAAGUGAGAUUUGAUCGUGAAUGAGCCACGAUACUGAUGCGGUGUAACCUACAGGGUGAUAUCACCAUAGGAGUGCCUUCUGUGCCCAUCUAGGUUUUCAACGCUGUCAGUAAUAGCAGUCCUGGAGACUACAAAUCAUCUACUAAGAAUGUCUUGGCUAAUGUCCAUUUCUGAAUAGAGAAGUCAGAGAGUAGCCUGCUGAACUUGGGAGAACACAAGAAUAUAUUCCUGAAAGAGAUCAGAAUAUAUUUGGGGGAGAAAAAGUGAACAGAUGGGAAACAGACAUGGAGAUGCUACAGAGAUGACAGAGGCUAUUGGGGUAAUCAAGAUACAGAUAAUGGCUUUCAGACUCAGCAAACCUCAGUAGAGGGAGUGUGGCAUCAAUGGGGAGGAGUUCAAAAGCAAGUCUGAGGGUGAAAAUUCUCAGAUGACAACCCACAAGGACAAUGAAGAUGGGGCAGACUGUUAAGCAUCUCAUUUGUGAGCUUUGAAAGACACAUUUACUAGCAUGGAUAAAUGAAACACAGCACUAACCAAAAUAGAUUAUUUAGAGUAUUAGUCACUUCACAAAUACAAAAGACCUAUGGAUAAUUUAAGCUGGAUGUAUUUCAAAACACCUUGGCAUGCUGCUGGUCAUUAGGAUAUGGCUGGUGGUUAUGUCAAUAUGUAUCAUUUACUAAGGAAGAAUUCAUCAACAUUGCCAUUUU
rnacentral:lncRNA from 1 species